rnacentral:rRNA from 1 species
AACGAACGCUGGCGGCAUGCCUAACACAGGCAAGUCGAACGAGACCUUCGGGUCUAGUGGCGCACGGGUGCGUAACGCGUGGGAACCUGCCCUUAGGUUCGGAAUAACUCCCCGAAAGGGGUGCUAAUACCGGAUAAUGUCUUCGGACCAAAGAUUUAUCGCCUUUGGAUGGGCCCGCGUUGGAUUAGCUAGUUGGUAGGGUAAAAGCCUACCAAGGCGACGAUCCAUAGCUGGUCUGAGAGGAUGAUCAGCCACACUGGGACUGAGACACGGCCCAGACUCCUACGGGAGGCAGCAGUGGGGAAUAUUGGACAAUGGGCGAAAGCCUGAUCCAGCAAUGCCGCGUGAGUGAUGAAGGCCUUAGGGUUGUAAAGCUCUUUUACCCGGGAUGAUAAUGACAGUACCGGGAGAAUAAGCUCCGGCUAACUCCGUG